rnacentral:misc_RNA from 1 species
GUAUAGGUUUUAAAGGCAAUUAAGCCCAUUAAAUAACAUUCUUAGACAUACUUGGGGGUAUAUAAAGACAUAGACUGGAAAUGUAAGGAAAGCCGGCCUAUUUUAUGCACAGCAGUCCUCAAACCGAGUUUCCUCGAGAGGUAUCCAAGUCUACAAAAGGUGCACAGGUGGUUAAAAGGUUGGCGUUAGGCGUGCACAUGUUCCGAAGAACCAGCAACAGCCCAACCAAGCUUAUUCAAUAAUGAUCCUUCCGCAGGUUCACCUACGGAAA